rnacentral:tRNA from 1 species
GGAUGAGUGUCCGAGCGGUCUAAGGAGCACGCCUCGAAAGCGUGUGAGGACGAAAUCCUCCGCGAGUUCGAAUCUCGCCUCAUCCGCGA